rnacentral:rRNA from 1 species
AGUGAACGCUGGCGGUAGGCCUAACACAUGCAAGUCGAACGGCAGCACAGUAAGAGCUUGCUCUUACGGGUGGCGAGUGGCGGACGGGUGAGGAAUACAUCGGAAUCUACUUUUUCGUGGGGGAUAACGUAGGGAAACUUACGCUAAUACCGCAUACGACCUACGGGUGAAAGCAGGGGAUCUUCGGACCUUGCGCGAUUGAAUGAGCCGAUGUCGGAUUAGCUAGUUGGCGGGGUAAAGGCCCACCAAGGCGACGAUCCGUAGCUGGUCUGAGAGGAGGAUCAGCCACACUGGAACUGAGACACGGUCCAGACACCUACGGGAGGCAGCAGUGGGGAAUAUUGGACCAUGGGCGCAAGCCUGAUCCAGCCAUACCGCGUGGGUGAAGAAGGCCUUCGGGUUGUAAAGCCCUUUUGUUGGGAAAGAAAAGCAGCAGGUUAAUACCCCGCUGUUCUGACGGUACCCAAAGAAUAAGCACCGGCUAACUUCGUG